GUGGGGAAUAUUGCACAAUGGGGGAAACCCUGAUGCAGCGACGCCGCGUGAGGGAAGAAGGUUUUCGGAUUGUAAACCUCUGUCCUUGGUGACGAAAGAAGACGGUAGCCAAGGAGGAAGCCACGGCUAACUACGUGCCAGCAGCCGCGGUAAUACGUAGGUGGCAAGCGUUGUCCGGAAUUACUGGGUGUAAAGGGAGCGUAGGCGGGAGGAUAAGUUGGACGUAUAAACUAUCGGCUCAACCGGUAGAGGCGUUCAAAACUGUCCUUCUUGAGUGAAGUAGAGGUAAGCGGAAUUCCUAGUGUAGCGGUGAAAUGCGUAAAUAUUAGGAGGAACACCAGUGGCGAAGGCGGCUUACUGGGCUUUAACUGACGCUGAGGCUCGAAAGCGUGGGUAGCAAACAGGA
rnacentral:rRNA from 1 species